rnacentral:misc_RNA from 1 species
AAGUCGUAACAAGGUUUCCGUAGGUGAACCUGCGGAAGGAUCAUUAUCGAGUUAGGGUCCUCUGGGCCCGACCUCCAACCCCAUGUUUAAUCACCCUGUUGCUUUGGCGGGCCCGUCUCCGGGCCGCCGGAAGUCUCCGGAUUUCUGGCCAGCGCUCGCCAAUGGCCCCACAAAUUCUGACAAAAAUGUGUAAAGUCUGAGUUACAAAAUAUGAUUAGUUAAAA